GUUUAUGGCCACACUGCCCUGAAUGCACCUCAUCUCGUCUGCUAAGCAGGGUCAGGCCUGGUUAGUACUUGGUGGGAGUAUUAGGCUGCCUGGGUG
rnacentral:rRNA from 1 species